GCAAGAUCCACAGCAAUGUUUCUGUAGGGUCUUCCAUGCUGUCCAUGGAUUGGAUUGGAUUUGAAUGACCUAUUUUAAGAGCACCCUGGAAAGGGAUGUAUUUAUCUGCAUGAUGGAGAAGUCUAAUUGGGAAACAAAUCCACUGUUGUCUGAAGCAAAACUGCUGAAAAGUCUAAAUUGGAAUUUCUAUUGCUAUUGUAUAUUUUGCUUUUAUCCCUCUGUUUUCCCCCCCAUCCCUUAUAUGAAUAAUACUUGGCACUUUGAAUCAUAAGAGAUAAACUAACCCGCUUCAUAGAGGGCAAAGGAAACAGUUAUCUGCAUUUUGUUAUAGGAGAGAGCGGCCCAAAGUCAUGCAGUGAGGCAGUGCGCCUGAGAGCCUGUCUAACCACUAGGCAACACGUCCUCACUAAAACAAUGUGAUUUUUAAAUCGGUAACAACUCUUGGCACUUCCAGAGCAUGUUUCAAUGUUCAGAGUGGUUUAAAAGGCUGGAUGUUUAAUUCAAUGUAGUCAUUAAAUGCUGGUUUACUAAUUGCGGCUCCAACGCUUAACGGAUUAAUCCUUGUGCACCUGAGCAGGCCCCUUUGAAUUCUGUUACCGCCUGCAGGGUGAAUGAGUGGCUCAGUUGUCUGUGUUUGUGUCAGUUGUUCACUCCCCUGGAGUUUUGCACCUGCCCCUUUAACACUGGCUCUGCCCGGCCCCCUUUCAGCAGGGAAGGCAGAGUCUGAGCUGGGAGAAUUUGCAGCUUCUGAGGGUCUGUGCUAGGUGGCCAGGAGGGAGGAGGCACAAAGAGCCAGGAGCCAGGCUGCUGCCCCCUUGCACAGCAGGGGCUGGGCUGAGAUGGCUGAGGAGCCACCCAGCACCCGGCUGUCGGCCAAAGGAGCAGGAGAGUGAGGAAGAAAAGAAACUUUUCUCCUGAAGUGGAAAUUGUGGCAAAAGGGAGAAAAGUGAGCAGGGGGGAUCACGCAGCCGGGCCAGGGCAGACAAGAUUCCGGGAAAGGACGCGGAUUCUGCUGUGACCUCUGCAGCUCUCCUUACACCAUCGACCCCGGCCGCAGAGGCAACCAGCUGAAGACCUCUAGCUCUCUGCCUUCUCCGCGCCACAAACGGGAAGCCAGGCCAGGCCAGGUGCUGACACUUUGCAAUGCAUGCGGUCUGACACUUAGCAGGCCUCGGAGCACUCCGAACCCUGUGAAGGAUCCUGGGCCGGACGAGAGGAAGCGGCAUGAAGAGCAGCUGCAGGCGUUUGGACGGUCCAUGGUGGAGCUGCUCGGGGACCAAGAUGGGAGCAAGCUCUGCUGUCCUGCCUACACCAGGAAACCUUGCCUCUGCCUCCAGAAUUAUCUCAAAGCCCCAGCCUCUCGGAUCCAAUCCCAUGGGCCUCCCCUUCCCGGAGGGCUCAGCAGCUCCUCGUAGCAGGGCACCACUCUUUGUAGAGCCCCCCCAUCCACAUGCGGUUCCAUGUCCGACUCCCUGAUGUGCUGACAUGCUGCUCCCGUGGCAGGGCUGGGCGAGAGCGAGAGCCGUACGCGAGCCUUCGAGUUCUUGAGGUUGCUGCAGGAAUCCAAGCAACUGAAAGCCGUGAAGUUCUGCAGCGACAGGGCAAGCCGGGGAGCCCAGGAGGCAAGGAGUGGGGUGGGGUGAAACCCCUAGGGAGUAAUGGAGCAUCCGCGGUGUAAGCAGCACAUCCCCUAGCUGAGGGGUCGUGCGUGUGGGCAGAGCCUUCCCCAGGCAGGAUUCUCCAUCAGGGUGUCCUCCAAUGUGUUGCUGCCGGGGCUCUGGCCCAGCUGACUCGUGGGAAAUGCCGAUAAUCAUGGACAAGAACAGAGUUUAGGGUGACGACUGAUCACUUUCAGUCCAGAGGGAGACCUACAGGGAAGGGAUUUGGGGCGAUGACAUGCUAUUGUCUCGGGUGUCCAUAGGCUCCCAGGGCCUCUGCAGACCCAUGGGGUGGUACUGGUUAGCAGCAAGCCCAGCUGGUUUUUGAGUGGCUAUGUUGUCCAGUGGUUAGAGCAGGGGACUGGGCCUUGGGAUUCCUGGGUUCUUUUCCCAGCACCGGUAUGAAUUCAGUGUAUAAUUUGUUUGGGGCAAGUGCUUUCCCCUGCCUUUCUCCAGUAGCGAAAUGGGGGCUAGGCACCCUGAUUCCAUGCAGCGCGCUGAGGCCCUGAGCCAAGGGAACAACACUGUCCUGUUGAUUUCCUCAAGGAGGAGAGCUGUUGGGCUGGGAAGCGGCCAGCGGAGGUCCCUAGUCUUUGAGGACUUUGUCCUGAAGAGCCGGAGGAUGUUGCGUGAAGAGCUGAAACUAUGCGAGAGAGCCACGCAAAGGAUUCUGGGAUACUCCUGCAUGAGAAACUCAAAACUAGCAGCCAGAAGCUCCCCAGAGCUGAGCGGAAGAAGGGGAAAGGAGCUCUGGGGCUCCUCAAGCCCAUUGCAGAACUUGGCAAAGAGAAGUGCUGUGCGGACAACUGCACUGCAAUGGCCCACACCUACAGCCGGCUGCUGCAGCACUGGAGGGAUCGAGCAUUAAUGGGCCAGUUAGAGGCCCGCCGAGUCCUAGCUGAAAUGCUGAUGCCCUCAGGAGAAUCCCAAGCCGAACAAGAAGGGUUCUGUUGCUGGGGAGAGAGCGCAACCCAGUCAGGCACCAUCGUUGGCUUCCCCCUCCACAGCUGGUUCCCAGGAGCUGCCUUCAGCCUCGGUCCAUGGGCCAUCCUCAGCUGGCGAGCCACCCACCUCUGGAACCGGCGCUCUGGACCCCUGCCCCCCACCGCAGGCCACGCUUGUCUCUAGCAUUGUCUCAGCACCGCCUGGCACUGGGGGGGAGAAUCACCUUGUACCAGAAGGCCAGCUGGCACGUUCUCUCCUGCACUGGCUGCUGCUCCAUCAGCUUCUCUCGCCCUCUCCAGUCCCCUACUGCACAUAGCUUAGACUGAGCAGCAGCAUCCACAGGGACUUGGCUACUUGAGGGAUCCGGCCCACCCUGCGCAGCCUUCACCCCUGGUCCAGUCUCUGGCUCGCUCUCAGCUUCUUGGUCCAGACUCCGGGAUGUGUUCAGCCCGUCAGCAGAUGCAGGGAGCAGAGGAACUAUGGAAAGGCCAAGAGCUGCAGCCUCCUUUGAUCCUGAUGGGGGCAAGCAACGGCGCUGUUCCAGGAUCCAUUAACCCGGGGGGGCCAGUUUCUUGGUGCUGUAAGGGGCCCACUGCCCACCCGAGAAUCGAGGCUCCCAUCCCAGCUGGCAGGAGGUGUUGAGACCUGACAGCCGGUAACAUCCUUUCUGAGUUUUCCCCCUUCACCUCCCCUUAGCGUUUCUGGUGGACUUGCCUGAACCCCACUGCUCACACUUGUAGCCCAGCUCCAGCCUGCUAGCUCCAGGCUCUGCCCUUCGCUCAGCCCGAGGUGUGUGAGGGUGCCACCUUCCCAGCCAGGGCAGGGGAGUGAAAGGCUGGGAGUCAAUCCUAGGGCUCCUGUCUGCUGGUGCAGAAUGCUAACCAUAAAUCCCCUCCACUCCCUGGGCCAGCCCCGCUGCAGUCUGACUCUGUAGCAGGAGCCUGCGCAGGGUUAAGCAUUUGGUUCCCCCUUGGCCUGGCAAGAGAAGGUGCUGGUGUGAUGACAGUGCAGACCUGCAGCUGUCCCUCCUGCAGGAUCCCAAACCUCUUCACUGUUGCCUACCAGAGGGCAGGAGGCAGUGAAAACAUCUGGCAUCUGACCCCACUUCCCCCCCUUCCAAAGGGCUGGGCCUUGCCUGCAGCCUCCACGUGCGAUGUUCCUCUCUGCUUGGAGAGUCCCAUCCUUCUGAAGUUCUCUCCUGUGUUGGUCCGUACCUGGGGGCCAGCUGCAAGGUUUGUCCUUAGCCUACUUACCGAGCCUCUGCUUUGUGUCUCUGCAUCUUGCCCUCCCCAGCAGCCUCCAUCCUCCGCGUUAGCAGCGCGCGCGGGGCUGCCCCAGCGCUCCUGGGGGCUGGAGCGUGGGUUGCAGAACGCAGUUUGCCAGCUCAGCUGCGGGGGCUGCUCUCAGCUCCACAGGCAAAUGGCGCCUGCUUUAUAGUGAAAGCUGAAGGACAGCACGUGCGUGGGGAGGCUAAGAUCAACGUUCACCUUGGCAGGCCACUGACUUUGUUGGCCGUACCCAGGGCAGCACAAUGUCCAGCCCUGACUGCACUGGCACCUAGGGGGUCCCUGCUAUUCAGCAGGUUAUCGAUACGGUAUUGCUACCAGCAAGCAAAUACAGAGUGCAAUGGCAAGCAAAUGGCCAACCUAAAGCUAGUGUGAGAAGGCAGCUGUGAAGAGUCAAACAGCUGUGCUGGGCCUGGGGAAUCUGUGGCCACCCUUGCAAUUCCUGUCUCCCUGGAGAGGAUUCAAAGGCCAUCGCUUCAGGCAGGGGUCAGAACUCUAACUGGCAUGGCUCUUGACUUCUGAAAGCGAGUCUGCCGGGGUGCAUGCCCGAAGGGAGAGAGGCUGGGGCCCUGGAGCAGCUGUGUGUGAAAGCAGUUCAGUGUACCUGGACACCACUGCCCCCAGCAGGCGUGUGCACAGCUUGGGUGGGGACUGGGCUCUCGGUACCCUAAGGGAUGAGCGAGGCCUCCUUUUGGGGAGGGGGCUGCUUCUAGGCUUUGGAACUCUGUUCCAUUGCAGCCUGCCUCUCUGUGACUGCCCUGUAGGACAGACAGUUCAAGCAAUUGUUUGGAGAUGGAAAACAGUCACGGGCCUGUCAUCGUUGGCUAGGAGAGCUAGUUACUGUUCCCCAAAAGCCCUGCACCACUGGCUGUUAGUCAAAGCAUUGGGCAGUCAAUGCAAACAGAGACCCGGGAAGCUCGUAACCACCUGCUUAAACUUUAGCAUGUGCACUUUCCCCAGACAGGGCUUUGCUUGCACUGCUGGUGGAGUUCUCCAAAAAAACAACACCCAAAGGCCUUGCUUCCUGCCUUCUCUCUCCUGGGCUAGGAGUCCUCAGCCCAGACAAGGGGCUGCUGUGUUCUAGGGAAGCAGUAGAAAGUUACUCUUGGCCUGGAAGUUUGGAUCACAAAUGUUUAUUAAGCACAACCCCUCCUCCCCCAAGCAUUUCUAUAUAUUAAUUCAUUUGGCAGAUUAUUAUUUUUAAGGAAAAAACAAAGUACCUGAUGGGUUAAAAUUCCCUCUUAAAAUGACAUUAGCAAAUGCACAUGUA